GAUGAACGCUGGCGGCGUGCCUAAUACAUGCAAGUCGAACGCAUAGCGAAAGGUGCUUGCACCUUUCAAGUGAGUGGCGAACGGGUGAGUAACACGUGGACAACCUGCCUCAAGGCUGGGGAUAACAUUUGGAAACAGAUGCUAAUACCGAAUAAAACUUAGUGUCGCAUGACACAAAGUUAAAAGGCGCUUCGGCGUCACCUAGAGAUGGAUCCGCGGUGCAUUAGUUAGUUGGUGGGGUAAAGGCCUACCAAGACAAUGAUGCAUAGCCGAGUUGAGAGACUGAUCGGCCACAUUGGGACUGAGACACGGCCCAAACUCCUACGGGAGGCUGCAGUAGGGAAUCUUCCACAAUGGGCGAAAGCCUGAUGGAGCAACGCCGCGUGUGUGAUGAAGGCUUUCGGGUCGUAAAGCACUGUUGUAUGGGAAGAACAGCUAGGAUAGGAAAUGAUUUUAGUUUGACGGUACCAUACCAGAAAGGGACGGCUAAAUACGUG
rnacentral:rRNA from 1 species